AGGCAGUGAUGAGGAAAAUUAUACCAUCAAACUUUGAAAGCUUUUGUGCUUCUUGAUGUCAAUAAUAAUCCCAGCUCUCUGAGCCU